rnacentral:rRNA from 1 species
GACGAACGCUGGCGGCGUGCUUAACACAUGCAAGUCGAGCGGUAAGGCCCUUUCGGGGGUACACGAGCGGCGAACGGGUGAGUAACACGUGGGUGACCUGCCCUCAGCUCUGGGAUAAGCCUGGGAAACCGGGUCUAAUACUGGAUAUGACUCCAUGACGCAUGUUGUGGGGUGGAAAGCCUUGCGCGGCUGAGGAUGGGCCCGCGGCCUAUCAGCUUGUUGGUGGGGUGANGGCCUACCAAGGCGACGACGGGUAGCCGGCCUGAGAGGGCGACCGGCCACACUGGGACUGAGACACGGCCCAGACUCCUACGGGAGGCAGCAGUGGGGAAUCUUGCGCAAUGGGCGAAAGCCUGACGCAGCGACGCCGCGUGAGGGAUGACGGCCUGGUGUAACU